GGGGGGGGGGGGGGGGGGGGGGGGGGGGGGGGGGGGGGGCGGGGGGGGAGGGAGGGCUGGGGCGGGCGGGGGGCGAGGGGGGGGCGGGUGGGGAAGACGUCGGAGUCUACGUUUGCGUGGGGGGUAACGGAGGGGAACUUACGCUAGUACCGCAUACGACCUACGGGGGAAAGCAGGGGAUGUUCGGACCUUGCGCGAUUGAAUGAGCCGAUGUCGGAUUAGUUAGUGGGCGGGGUAAAGGCCCACCAAGGCGACGAUCCGUAGCUGGUCUGAGAGGAUGAUCAGCCACACUGGAACUGAGACACGGUCCAGACUCCUACGGGAGGCAGCAGUGGGGAAUAUUGGACAAUGGGCGCAAGCCUGAUCCAGCCAUACCGCGUGGGUGAAGAAGGCCUUCGGGUUGUAAAGCCCUUUUGUUGGGAAAGAAAAGCAGCAGGUUAAUACCCCGCUGUUCUGACGGUACCCAAAGAAUAAGCACCGGCUAACUUCGUG
rnacentral:rRNA from 1 species